rnacentral:rRNA from 1 species
GACGAACCGUGCGAACGUUGUUCGGAAUCACUGGGCUUAAAGGGCGCGUAGGCGGGCUUGCAAGUCUGCGGUGAAAGCCUCCAGCUCAACUGGAGAAGUGCCGUGGAUACUGCGGGCCUCGAGGAGGGUAGGGGCAUCUGGAACGUUGGGUGGAGCGGUGAAAUGCGUUGAUAUCCAACGGAACUCCGGUGGCGAAGGCGGCGUCCUGGCUCGCAUCUGACGCUCAGACACGACAGCAUGGGGAGCGAACGGG